CGGCGGAAUGGCUGGUCACGUGACGGGCCGAGUUGACCUACUUUUAUCCAAUGGCAGAAGCAAAGCUAAAUGCUGGCGUGACUGGUCAGGGGCCGUGUCACAUUGAACUUCAUGUGUUCGCGUAGCGAAGAAAAACAACCGUCCUCCUUUCAGCAGCAAAAAAUCUACUUGUCACUGUUCUAGUGACCUCUGCACAAUGCUGUGUAAAAUUUGCUUGUACAUUUCAGAAGGUUCCUCCUGCAGCCUGAAUGGAGGUACGUGCUAAACUGAUAAAUGGUAACCAUUCAAUAAGUAUGCAAGUAAUGGUUUGUUUUGCUAUCAGCUGCAACCUGAAAAACCAGCAGAGAUACUCAGGCGUCCCUUUUCUGGAAUAAAGAACAGGGUGUGAAAAACUUUAGCUUUCACGGUGGAUUAGCCAAAGUAAUGGGUAAUAGCUUUGAGGGUUUUAAGAAUGACGUAUGUAUGUACGUAUGCUAUAGUGCUGGUUCUCACGUAAGCUUAGCUAUUUUGCACUCUCUCUCUCUCUCUCAUAUGCACAGACACACACAAAGACACACACAUGCGCGCACACACACACAAACACAUGCACUCUCACAAUCACAGAAGAGCCAUGUUUUCAAUGGGCGUCUCGCAUUGGUACCGCUUCUCACUCCUACAGUCACAUCCUGUUUCUUUGUGAUUAAGUGACUAAACGAAGGUCAUAAUGCACACAAAUGCACGACUGAAUCGGUUUGAUUCUCGACGUCCAGCUUCAGCAGAAUCGUUUUGUGGCGGCAUGAUUCAUUUUAGCUCACGCAUUUAAAAGUUCGCUGUGAUUGCCGGCCGUUUCCGUGUUAAAGUUUUCUGCAUCAAAAAUGAAAUGUUUCACAGGAUGAGGAGGAGACGCCACUCUUCCCAAUGCACCCUUCUGUGAUGUCAGUGCGCUGUCUCCCUCUUCACCAAGUGAACGCACGCGACUGCUGUGAGAGUCAUCGUUCAACCUGAGCUGUAUUUGUGAUCGACAUGGCGUAGAUGCAGAAUUUCUUUCAACUGCAUUCAUACGGCUUUGAAUGGACCACGUUUUUAAAUGUUAAGAUGUCAAAUACACAUAAAAACCUUAAUACGUGACAUUUUAAUCCGUUAAAUUAGCUUAACUGCAGUCGUAUGUUAUGAUAACUAAUAAUGAAUAACUGAAGUAGAGCAUCAAUAUGAUGUCAAUCAUGGUUUUACAUUUUUUAAAAAUCUGCAUUAUCUUUCUAUAUGACAAGACUAGUACCAAAGAAUGAAUGCAUUGUUUCUGUGGAAAUAUUUUUGAUAGGUUACCUGCGGACCAUUUGUUUCAGUCGACUCUCAUGUGUGAGUAUAAAAUCCAGAGGUUUUCUUCAACUAGUUUAAGAGAGGCGAUGGUGCUUCAGAUUCAACGUUGUGCUUUGAAGAGGACCCAGGCCUGGACGUUAGUGAGCCACUGCAGAUUGGACACUUUGGUACUUCCUGUGGACGGUACUUCCUGUUGGGAAUGCUGCAGAUGAGACAGGAAGCUCUUGGGUGUGUGAAACACUCAGUGUGCCCACAGCUGUACUCAGCCUGAAAGAGGAGAGGAUCAGAUGAUUUAUCUAAAUAUACCACCCGAGACCUCUCCUCCUCCUCCUCCUCCUCCUCUUCCUCCUCUCUGAGUGAACAACAGUCCACCUCUGGCAUGAGCCCAAAUGCACAGAAGCUCUUUCGUUUUAUUUUUCAUGUUCUGUCUCUUUCCGAGGCCUAAGUCUUACAUGCAGGAUGAUUCAACCAAAUUCCAGGGGUCAUGUUCUCUCUCGAAAGAACAAGGAAGCUUCUUCUUCUUCUUCUGCAUCUUCUAUUUCAAUAUUUUGCCUGCAAAGCGCUGCGUGUUCUGAGCAGAGAAUUUUUCCAUCAAAAGAACAUUUUUGUUUGGCAUGCCUGCAGAUCUGAAACGCCUCCUGGAUUUAUUGGACCAAACAAUGUCGCUGCCUGGAAUGGAGUCCACUGGUAUAAAGAGUGUUUUCUGAAA